rnacentral:rRNA from 1 species
AGAUUGAACGCUGGCGGCAUGCCUAACACAUGCAAGUCGAACGGGAGUAGCAAUACUCUAGUGGCGGACGGGUGAGGAAUACGUAGGAAUUUGCCCUUAAGUGGGGGAUAACCCGGGGAAACCCGGAUUAAUACCGCAUGACCUCGAAAGAGCAAAGUGGGGGAUCGCAAGACCUCACGCUUUUGGAGAAGCCUACGUCGGAUUAGCUAGUUGGUGAGGUAAUGGCUCACCAAGGCGACGAUCCGUAACUGGUCUGAGAGGAUGAUCGAGCACACCGGAACUGAGACACGGCCGACUCCACGGAGGCA